UACGUAGGGUGCGAGCGUUGUCCGGAAUUACUGGGCGUAAAGAGCUCGUAGGUGGUUUUGUCGCGUCUGCUGUGAAAAACCCGAGGCUCAACCUCGGGCCUGCAGUGGGUACGGGGCAGACUAGAGUGCGGUAGGGGAGAUUGGAAUUCCUGGUGUAGCGGUGGAAUGCGCAGAUAUCAGGAGGAACACCGGUGGCGAAGGCGGAGCCUGGGCCAAUACUGACGCUGAGGUGCGAAAGCGUGGGGAGCAAACAGG
rnacentral:rRNA from 1 species